CGGCGGUCAGGGAACUCGGCAACCCCACAACGGCGCCCUCACCAAGGCCCAUGGCCCAGCUCCACUUGACCUCUCAUCGGAGCCAUCGGUGGGAACCAAGACUGGUGAUCCGCGAGACUUGCAUACAGUAGCUUGGCUAGACGACCAUCAUCCCUACCAUGCGCGGAGCCUUUCGUCGAUCUGGUCGUGCUUCCCAGCAGACAUCGCCAUACUGGAGUCGCGCUCCUCUCCCUUAUGAUGUCGUACUGGAUGCAUGCUCCCCGCCCCCAACGCCGAGCAAUCCUGCCGGAUCUGCUCGUCCCCGAACCCCAAAAUCGGUGGUGGCCACGAGCAGCCAACUCUGUCCUCUGUCGUAGCUGAGGAUAGGGUAGCAAACGCAUGUUGAGGCGGGGAGCUGGUACAUGGGGUUCUUGGAGGGAGGAGCAAGCCGUCAAUUGCUGCGGCGGGGUCGGAGGGGCAGAUCGGAGUCAGCCGAGUGACGUUCGUCACGGCCAUGGUAAACUCUAAGAGUUGUGGCCCGUCUUCAAAAGCACAAAGCCACAUCACGCUGAUGACAAUUGGCCGUCCAUCGUUUGAUUCCGUGUUCGUAGUAUUCUAUACAUCUCCACAAGACUACAGUUCUUUAUUGGGAACGAAGAAUUGGUCUAUUUUUCUUCCACUCUGUUUGGAUUUCUAGGAAGUCUUUUGCCUAUUGUGCAGCAC